UACAGAGGUGGCAAGCGUUGUUCGGAAUUACUGGGCGUAAAGGGCGCGUAGGCGGCCACCGCAAGUCGACUGUGAAAUCUCCGGGCUUAACCCGGAAAGGUCAGCCGAUACUGCGGGGCUAGAGUGCAGAAGGGGCAACUGGAAUUCUCGGUGUAGCGGUGAAAUGCGUAGAUAUCGAGAGGAACACCUGCGGCGAAGGCGGGUUGCUGGGCUGACACUGACGCUGAAGCGCGAAAGCUAGGGGAGCGAACGGG
rnacentral:rRNA from 1 species